UAAAGAUUCACACCCUUUUCCACAAAAGCGUGUUGCAGUAUUGAUUCAUAAUGCUCUUAACUUGAAAAUAAUAGACAGAUAGCUGGUCACGUGAUAGUUCAAGGAGUCCUGGUAAUCUAGCUUCGACGCGGGUCGUAGAGACACUCCGUUUCGUUCUGGAAGCCAGCAGUCUGACAGAGCGCUUUUAACGGUGAUGCCGGACAGAAAACUUAAACGUUUAGUCAAUAUACGAACGUGUGAGAACGACCCAGUCACGGGUCGUCCUUUAAAUGACAAGAUUGCUGCUGCUACCUCACAGGGGGUGAAGGGCAAAUGGCAUUGGUACGAUUGCCCGAGCCGUUCCUUGAGGUUUAGCCUUAGGUCCGAGAUGUCAUAAUGGUAGAACGAGUGAAUGUUUAUGUAAUGGAGCCGUCAUGGCGCCCAUAUUAUUGGGCAAGAAAUUGUUUCUUUGCUCAAACGUAAUUCUGCCGGUGAUUUAUUUGCUUCGGCCAUUAUACUGGAGGACGUUCCGUAGAGCGAUUCAUAAGAUUCAGAAGACCACUCGAAUACCCUUAUCAGGAUCAUGUUUUCGACUAGACCACUGAAUAUUUUUAGUUGAUGUUGAACCUACUUGCGCGUUUUUUUCACUAAAGUGAUAAAAGAUAUAGUACUAGAAUACUGUUGUUUUUAUGUUUUUAUUGCUUACUUUUAUUUUAUUUUAUAACCUAUGUUUUCAAUGCUGAAAAUUGUGACAUGUUUUUUUUUCUUAGAACUAGAAAAACUGACUACUCCAACCAAAGAGCGUAGGUAGGAGUAGCAUAAAUGUGAAUUUCAGGUAACCCAGAAGGAGAGUGGUGCGUCGUGGAAGUAGCCACGUCUGUAAAUACGAAGGGUUUAUAUAUUCGUGUGUUUUCUUAAAACCAAUAAUUUCUAGUAAAUUGCGAUUUCCAUAUCUACACAGAUCCGUAUUUACCACGCUUACUACGACAUGCAGCCUAAACAUAAACGAACUAAGGUAAUAAUGAAUAUUGGCUGUAUUAUAAUUAUUAUCAAUUGAGACACUUUUGUCUAACACAGAGGGAUUUUUUUAAGUGAGCCAUCUAUCAUUUAUCAAUAAUGAACUAAUAUAUUAUAAUCUUCGUCUUUCUGAUUCAAACAAGUUGUUUCAGUCUGUCUCCAUAUAAAAACAUCGUUCGUUGUAAGAAUCGUAUGAAAUUAACAUCGUAGCCUGUCGUCGCAAGCUUCGUCGCGGACCCCAUAUAAGAUGUCGUUGAAGACGAAUCACUCAAUGACAAGUAGUCAUUUAUGGGGAUCUAUUCACAAAUACCGUCAUAUGUCGAUAAUGAUCAAAGGGUGGUUCGUCCGCAAAACUCCUCGUAUCUCAUUGCAGUCGGAUCCAAAGGUUUGAAGCACGUUGCAGUCUAUUGGACAGUUAAACAAAGGACGCAGAUAGUCGGCCAGCUACUAGCACAAUAUAUCAUGAAAAAGACUAGAAGAAACCUACUACUAUAGUAGAAGAAGUUCAAGCACAAAAGAGUAUCGUAGCUAGCUUGUACGUAGAAGAAUCGGAUCUUAAAAAAGGGUGUUUAUAAAAAUAAUAGUAUAAUGAAGUGUACUUUCUACUAGGCCCUGAUUUCUAAACGUACACUUUCUAAUAACAUUUUAGGUUGUAUAAAGUUUUGUUUACAUGUUAUUAGUAUCGUUCACAACUCAAUCAAAUCGGUUAAUCAUUGUUACUCUUGUAAGCAGUGCUCAAAGAUGUAUAGAGGGCACCAUCGUUGGCCGUAUCCUGCAUACAAUGCCUUACAAUUUUAGUCCAUUUUCGUCAUAAUAAAAGUGUAUUGAAAUUGUAUCGUAAAACAGAUGUAACGUCGCUUUUAUACCCCCUGACGACAUCGAAUCUGCGCCCUGUCGUCAAUAGUUUUAGGCCGGUUAUCGAAACGUUUCUCAAGUAGAUGGUCAUACAACUAUAUUUGUGCCUAUGUAACCAUUGUAAAAUUAAUGUUUUUUUUUUUUUGUGUAGCGUAGACUCGCUCAAAAUGUGAGAUUAAUGAUCGAAGAAUAUUUGGAAAAGACUCAAUCGGAUGUACUUGAUAGGUCCUUCAUCAGGAUUUAAGGAUAUAAGGAAGAGGCUUCGUAAGGCGACGAGCAGGUUUAUGGCUAAGUAUAAGUUGGACUUACAACGGGUACAAAGCAUGCAUUACUAGAUUGUUUCUGCGAUGCUGUAGCGGUACUACGCAUGCCCACUGAAAUAGGAAAUACGUGAAGUAAUCUAGGUUGAAAAACGGGCGGAAAUACUGUUUAUGUUGCACCGAAGGUCAGCCGUGCGACACACUGCCUAAUGGCGGUACCGAUGCAGCACACAAAGGGUUCAUUUGUGUACUAAAAAACCGCUCCAGGCCUACAAUUGGAACAGCUUGCGUUUGCACACCAUUCAAUGGCGUCCGUAAGACAUAACCGCGGCAGGAAAUGAGAUAAGAUGGCGGGAUGCUAUCGGAAAUGGUGGUGACCAAAAAGCGAACUCCUCUGUUGGGGCUGAUGACGCGACAGGAAGUGACGGACCCUUUAUCUAAGUAGAUGACAGCAUACGAUAGGUAGUAAUGGUGGUACCUUUCACAGGCGAUAAAAAUCAUGAUUACUCCACUAGAUAUCUACACACGAAUAAAUACUUUGACACGUUUAUUUUCAUACAACUUUGUUGAAUUUCAAAGCAAACAAAUAGAUCCAGCUGAUAGGUGCAAGCGAAAAAAAUCUACACGGUUCUUCUAGACUUUUCCCGUCACAAAUUGACCCGUACAUUGUCGAUGUUUGAACAGAUUUCUCGUCAGUCAGUCAGUCAGUCAGUCUCCUCUGCCUAAUCGACCAAAUGAAGCUCUAUUAUUCCUAUCGAUCUAGUCAAAUCUAUAACAUUACAAGGAACGAACAUUCCCACUUUAACCUAUAUAUCCCAUAUUCCCUCCUGAGUGUUUCGUUGUGCCGUCAUACAAAAACGCCACAUUGUAUAUAUGAAUAUCCUGCUAGAAUAAUAUUCAAGCAUGUUCUCGUCAGAGGAAAGAGUUUUUCUUGUUAUUGCGUGACCAUUUUUUGCUUAUGUUCAGUUAUACGCAGCUAAACUUGAGUCUUAUUUUUCCAAGAGGAACUUCUUAUUUCUGUACCGCUACGGAAGUGGUGGUCAAAAAGUUUCAAUUUCUAGCGUUGAUUCCACGUCUCUUCUUAGCGAUGGGUGUGCCCCGUUUCGUCUGGCCUCUGUUUAUGCACUGUUUCACAACCUCUAGUGGAGGAUACCGUCCGCGGCCGAAUUUCGAAGCUGACACUGGCCAUGCGAUCACUUCAAUGCAACCCAUCAUCCUGCCACAGCUUGGCCGUGGCUACGUCUGCUGUUGCUAUGUUUGGAAUAUCUUUGCAGUCAGGAUUUACGAGGUUACGAAAAGGGCUGCUUAAGGAAGUGAGUUAGUACUACAUGGCCCAUGUGCAACGUCGCUAUGACAUGCGAAGUCGUUGGAGCAGAUGCUCGCAACGGAAUAGGAGUAGCCCAACGGCCGGCUCAGUCAAACCAUAGCAACUGCAAGACAGCUAUCAGCGAUUCUGUGGAGGAAACAGCCGAACAGAUCGAAGCCUAUAUAUAUAUAUUGUUGUUUUUUUGUUGUUUUUUUUUUUGCCUUAACUAGAGCGAUUACAGCAGAAAAAAUAAGAUGGAAGAACAUUCAUUUCUCCUCUAAGAGCUUUAUGAAAAAGACGUAAAAUAACGUGAAAAAAGCUACUCUUAUUUACGUUACAUAUUUAUGGCCUCAUCUGUCACUGACGGUGUCGAAUAUAAUGCGAGCACAAGUACCCGAGUCUGUGGUUCAGUGGUUCUGAAGAAGUUCGAAAUUAAACCUCUUAAGCUCCAGCCAGACCAAGCUCCAAGCCAACCAGAUUAAGAGCGAAGCAUGGCAUUAGACGAGUGUAAACUUCUAGUUAUGUCAAAUGUGUGCGUCGAAACUUAGAUUUCGUGCUUUCGUUCUAUCACACUCUAUCGUGACUGAAUAGUGCAUAUAAGUGAAACGUCGUCUCAAAUAAUAUAUUGGGUUGUCUAAAUACUGUUGACGGUCUUUCUAGGCAGAUGCAUUUAAAGUUACGUAUCUUAGCUAAUAUAACUCGUGUCGAAUUAUAUCAUCUAGAAGCUGAAACCUAGCAGUGUCUGGUGGAUACGCUACAAUUAUUAGACCUUUCCCCAUGCCUAAGAUAGGGCGUCUUGAAGAAGAUGAGCAAAAUUUCCAUUUUUUAAUUGUUAUAUUUUACAAUCAUAUUUUAUCAGAAGAUAUAGAUCGAAAAUCGUUUUUGUUCUGGGAAUUUUGAUACAAAAACACUCCUCUUUCGGUGGUCGAUCGACGAGUUGCAGGAGAAACUAACGGAAGGAUUAUAAGAGCGGCAGGUGGUUAGUUACGAUAUCGCCAAAGACUAGACAACGCGACGAAAUCGAGCCGUUCUUAAAUAAUUCAUGAAAACUGGAUAGCAUAGAACAAAAAUGUACAAAUGAAGAAUAAAACGUUCCACAAUCGUUAUUGAUGUCAAAAUGCCGUGUGUUCGGGGAAACUAAAAAGGAAUCACGCAUUAUAAACAGCUGCCGUCUGGCAAAACGACGGAUUCGGACCUCUAGUGCCUACCUUUAGCUAAAUCGGGAUAGAAGAUUUUCCCGUGUAGUCCGGAUCUUGCACCAUCAGAAUAUCAUCUGUUAUUAUUUUGGUGCGUGUAGCACACUGUUAACAGUGUUCAU